GACGAACCGAGCGAACGUUAUUCGGAAUCACUGGGCGUAAAGCGCACGUAGGCGGCUUUCUAAGUCAGGGGUGAAAUCCUGGAGCUCAACUCCAGAACUGCCUUUGAUACUGGAGAGCUUGAGUCCGGGAGAGGUGAGUGGAACUCCGAGUGUAGAGGUGAAAUUCGUAGAUAUUCGGAAGAACACCAGUGGCGAAGGCGGCUCACUGGCCCGGUACUGACGCUGAUGUGCGAAAGCGUGGGGAGCAAACAGGG
rnacentral:rRNA from 1 species